rnacentral:pre_miRNA from 1 species
CAUGUACUUCCUCCGUUUCAAAAUUAUUGUCUUAGAUUUGUCUAGAUAUAAAUAUUUUUAAUAACGUUUUAGUAUUUAGAUAUAUCGAUUUCUAGAUAAAUUUAAAAAAAGAAUUUUGGAACAGAGGAAGUACUAU